CGCCCACACGAAGACGGAGUUGCUAGUAAUCCCGGAUCAGCACGCCGGGGUGAAUGCGUUCCCGGGUCUUGUACACACCGCCCGUCAAGCCAUGGGAGUUGGGAGUACCCGAAGUCGGUGAGCUAACCAGCAAUGGAGGCAACUGCCUAAGGUAAAACCAAUGACUGGGGUUAAGUCGUAACAAGGUAGCCGUAUCGGAAGGUGCGGCUGGAUCACCUCCUUU
rnacentral:rRNA from 1 species